GGUACAUUAUGCAAGUGGUUAAGCACCCUCUUAUUCCCGACGGAGGUGAUUUUCCUCGGAGAAUGCGCGGGUUCAAAUCCCGCAUGUAUCG